GACAGAGGGUGCAAACGUUGUUCGGAUUUACUGGGCGUAAAGCGUGUGUAGGCGGCUUGGCAAGUUGGAUGUGAAAGCCCACGGCUCAACCGUGGAAGCGCACCCAAAACUGCUUCGCUCGAGUCUCGGAGAGGAAGGUGGAAUGCUUGGUGUAGAGGUGAAAUUCGUAGAUAUCAAGCAGAACACCUGCGGCGAAGGCGGCCUUCUGGACGAUGACUGACGCUGAGACACGAAAGCGUGGGGAGCAAACGGG
rnacentral:rRNA from 1 species